rnacentral:rRNA from 1 species
GUCUAUGGCCAUACCACCCUGAAUACGCUCGAUGUUGUCUCAUUUUGGAAACUAAGCAGGGUUGGGCCUGGUUAGUACUUGGAUGGGAGGUAGUCGACUCUACAUUAUGAGAUGUUUUCAUGUAAUUGACC